CGACCAGGGAGAUCGUUCGCGCGCCCAUAUCCACGCCGCCGUCGUUGACCUGAUCCGUGUCCGUCCUCGAGGGAGGUCGGCCAUGGUGGUCCGUGCUCGUCCCGCCUUCCACCCUGUUCCUCCCAUUAGCGGUCCACACCACCGCGGGAGUCAGGGAGCAUCAUGCCCUACCCGCCGUGCACGACCGACCGUCGCCGCCGAAGACUCUCCAACCUAAGGUGAAUGGAGCUUGUGUUGUUGGUAGAACACCGUUGAUGACUUCUUCCUAUGUUGAAGAGCAUGUUCCGUGGUAUCCAAGAGUAGAUAGCUUUAACUUGGCAGAGCGUUUUAUUUUUCAAUUGCAAUAUUUGUGAUUGUGUGGAAUAUUGUAUGGUUAUGUACGUGAAGUUUUAUGUUCCUGGGCAUGCAACAUUUGUAGGUUAAACUGGUUGUUGUGAUGUGAACCAAUGUAUGGAGUUCCACAUGUUCUAUUAUGUACAUAAUAUAUUGUAAUAAACCUAUUUUGGUUGUU